rnacentral:rRNA from 1 species
UGAGUACGAGCUGCUACGGCAGCGAAGUGGGUGACGUCAAGCUUCCAAGAAAAGCCCUACACCCGUUAAGGCAUGAUGGCCUGUACCCGAAACCGACACAGGUGGGGUGGUAGAGAAUACCGAGGGGCGCGAGGUAACUCUCUCUAAGGAACUCGGCAAAAUGGCCCCGUAACUUCGGGAGAAGGGGUGCCACCGCAAGGUGGUCGCUGUGAAGAGGCCCAGGCGACUGUUUACCAAAAACACAGGUCUCCGCUAAGUCGCAAGACGAUGUAUGGGGGCUGACGCCUGCCCAGUGCCGGAAGGUUAAGGAAGCUGGUCAGCGCAAGCGAAGCUGGCGACUGAAGCCCCGGUGAACGGCGGCCGUAACUAUAACGGUCCUAAGGUAGCGAAAUUCCUUGUCGGGUAAGUUCCGACCCGCACGAAAGGCGCAACGAUCUGGGCGCUGUCUCGGAGAGAGGCUCGGCGAAAUAGAAUUGUCUGUGAAGAUGCGGACUACGUGCACCCGGACAGAAAGACCCUAUGAAGCUUUACUGUAGCUUGGUAUUGUGCCCGGGCUCUGAAUGCGCAGGAUAGGUGGGAGGCUUUGAUCCAUUGCUUGUGGGUGAUGGUGAGCCAACGGUGAGAUACCACUCUUUCAGAGCUAGGGUUCUAACGGUCACCCGUUAUCCGGGGACCGGACAGUAUCAGGUGGGCAGUUUGACUGGGGCGGUCGCCUCCUAAAAGGUAACGGAGGCGCGCAAAGGUUCCCUCAGGCUGGUUGGAAAUCAGCCGAUGAGUGCAAAGGCAGAAGGGAGCUUGACUGUGAGACCUACAAGUCGAACAGGGACGAAAGUCGGCCUUAGUGAUCCGACGGUUCUGAGCGGAAGGGCCGUCGCUCAACGGAUAAAAGUUACUCUAGGGAUAACAGGCUGAUCUCCCCCAAGAGUUCACAUCGACGGGGAGGUUUGGCACCUCGAUGUCGGCUCAUCGCAACCUGGGGCUGAAGUCGGUCCCAAGGGUUGGGCUGUUCGCCCAUUAAAGCGGUACGCGAGCUGGGUUCAGAACGUCGUGAGAUAGUUCGGUCCAUAUCCGGUGCAUGCGCAGGAAUAUUGAGAGGAUUUCUCCCUAGUACGAGAGGACCGGGAGGAACGCACCUCUGGUGUACCAGUUAUCGUGCCAACGGUGAACGCUGGGUAGCCAUGUGCGGAGUGGAUAACCGCUGAAAGCAUCUAAGUGGGAAGCCCACCUCAAGAUGAGUAUUCCCAUGGCGUUAGCCAGUAAGGUCACGGGCAGAACACCCGUUGACAGGCUCUACGUGGAAGCCGGGUAACCGGUGAAGCGGAGGAGUACUAAUAGACCGAGGGCUUGAC